GGAUGACCUUACCAAAUAACUGGAAAGUACUGAAACGAUCUUUUGUAAAAGAGCUGGAACCCGGUUUUGUAAUCAGCUCAUUGUCCCCAAAAUGCACACUGCUCUGACUAUCCAGUGAUAAAUUGUCUGAAUAUGAACUGCCAAUAUUCAGUUUGGGAGAAACACUGUCAAGCUUUGCCUUGAUUUCUUCAUCUAAGCUAUUGUUAGUGCACAACCCAAGGUUAUUGCUCUUAACAUUGGAUAAACUUGAUACACUAACUUGAUCAUGCCUGGCUCCCUGCAUGCCCGCAGGAAAAGAUGUAAAAUUGCC
rnacentral:misc_RNA from 1 species